rnacentral:rRNA from 1 species
CCUACGGGAGGCAGCAGUGGGGAAUCUUGCGCAAUGGGCGAAAGCCUGACGCAGCAACGCCGCGUGCGGGAUGAAGGCCUUCGGGCUGUAAACCGCUUUCAGCAGGAACGAAAAUGACGGUACCUGCAGAAGAAGGAGCGGCCAACUACGUGCCAGCAGCCGCGGUGACACGUAGGCUCCAAGCGUUGUCCGGAUUUAUUGGGCGUAAAGAGCUCGUAGGCGGUUUAGUAAGUCGGGUGUUAAAACUCUGGGCUCAACCCGGAGAGGCCAUCCGAUACUGCUGUGACUUGAGUUCAGGAGGGGAGCGGGGAAUUCCUAGUGUAGCGGUGAAAUGCGCAGAUAUUAGGAGGAACACCGGUGGCGAAGGCGCCGCUCUGGACUGAAACUGACGCUGAGGAGCGAAAGCAUGGGUAGCAAACAGGAUUAGAUACCCUGGUAGUCCAUGCCGUAAACGGUGGGCACUAGGUGUGGGUUCCAACUAACGGGAUCCGCGCCGUCGCUAACGCAUUAAGUGCCCCGCCUGGGGAGUACGGUCGCAAGCUAAAACUCAAAUGAAUUGACGG